CUGUGUCGUUUUCUGUGAUUAAGUGAUGUUUUUCUUCAUGUUGUUUAUCACUGAAGCUAAAGAAUUGAGAUACAACAAUCUUUGACUGACUUUAGGUGUAAGACGUUCGCCCAGCUAUUGUAGACCGCAUGGAAUCGAUUCAAGUCCUUUAAAAAUUUGUGAAUCAAGAUGAGAAUGAACUUAGUGAAUCUGUGAUUGCUGCUAUAUGUUUUGGCUAAAAUAUAAAAAAAACUGUUGUAUGUCUCCAAAACAAAGGAGCUUAUAUUUAUGAUACCAAAAAGUACAGGAUUGUUUGACAUCAGAAAUACAAAGAAUUCGGCACACAGCGACAAUUCACCUUUUAAAACGAAACCAAAAAACUAGAAGCAAAAAACAAAUUGUGCUUCAAAACGAAACUAGAAUGCACUGCUUUUAAAAGGUUGAAAUAUAGGAAAGGACAACUUUUCUAGGCGUUUAGUGAUUCGUUUAUAGUAACAUCGCUCACGAUGAUGUUCGGAGUUGAUCGGCAUGUUGUCGUACAUUAUCAUCCACGUGAUCUGCUAUGAUCACGUGGUAAUUAUCGUCUAUAAAUUUAAUCUCAACGUUAAAAAAAAAUUUCUUUAGAUUGGUGGCGAUCGAAGGUGGACAGCAAGAUCGAAGCUCAGCAAGAUUGAAGAUUGUUCGAGGAAGAAGGAGUUCGCCGUUGACUAAAAGGUUUAUAUGAACAGCUAUUUGUCAAGAUGAACGUGAAGAGAAAAAAGAUGAGAAUAGAAGACUCGCCCGGCCAAAUUCAAAAUGGCGAUGCCAAAGAAAACCAUCCACGUGGACCGUUCGCGGACCUUUCUGAGCAAGAUUGUUGUGCUGUCUGGUCAAAGUUAAGUAUCUUACUUUGAUGUUUAUGUGUCUUCUGCUAAUUGUUGGCCAGAAAUAACAAAAAACCAUAUACAAUAUGAAAUGUUCUGCGUACAAGGUUAUCUAAAGUUUCGAGCUUAAUUCUGCCUGCAAUGAUGAAAAUUUUUUCCUGAAAAUUUAUGUCAUAAGCAUUUUCCGCACCCAUAGACUGAAGCAGAACUGAACAUUUUGUCAUUAACGUUUAUCUCAACUGCCAGUUAUCAAGACGAACGUCAAGAGAACAGUUGAAAUAGAAAUCAGUUCAAGACUCGCCCGGCCGAAUUCAAAAUGGCAAUGCCGAAGAAACUAUCCACGUAGACCGUUCGCGGACCUUUCUGAGCAAGAUUGUUGUGCUGUCUGGUCAAACCAGUUAUCAAGACGAACGUCAAGAGAACAGUUGAAAUAGAAAUCAGUUCAAGACUCGCCCGGCCGAAUUCAAAAUGGCGAUGCCGAAGAAACUAUCCAGUAUCCACGUGGACCGUUCGCGGACCUUUCUGAGCAAGAUUGUUGUGCUGUCUGGUCAAA